rnacentral:lncRNA from 1 species
GAGGGUCCUAGGGUCUUCAUCUAGAGUGUUGACUUUUGUGAGAGAAAAUAAAAAAGUUCUCUUCUUCUUCCUCUACCUCUUUUUCCUCCAAUUUCUCCUUCUUUUAUGAGAGGAUUUGAGAGAUUAGAAGGAUGUGUUAAAUCAACCAUCAGAAGUAGAUCUCUGCAAGGGAGCUAGCACCUUAAAGAGAUCAACGAACCUCUGAUC